GAAAUGCGAUAAGUAAUGUGAAUUGCAGAAUUCAGUGAAUCAUCGAAUCUUUGAACGCACAUUGCGCCCCCUGGUAUUCCGGGGGGCAUGCCUGUUCGAGCGUCAUUUCACCACUCAAGCCUCGCUUGGUAUUGGGCAACGCGGUCCGCCGCGUGCCUCAAAUCGACCGGCUGGGUCUUCUGUCCCCUAAGCGUUGUGGAAACUAUUCGCUAAAGGGUGCUCGGGAGGCUACACCGUAAAACAACCCCAUUUCUAAGGUUGACCUCGGAUCAGGUAGGGAUACCCGCUGAACUUAAGC
rnacentral:misc_RNA from 1 species